UGGGGAAUAUUGCACAAUGGGCGCAAGCCUGAUGCAGCCAUGCCGCGUGUAUGAAGAAGGCCUUCGGGUUGUAAAGUACUUUCAGCGGGGAGGAAUGGAGUAAAGUUAAUACCCUUGCUCAUUGACGUUACCCGCAGAAGAAGCACCGGCUAACUCCGUGCCAGCAGCCGCGGUAAUACGGAGGGUGCAAGCGUUAAUCGGAAUUACUGGGCGUAAAGCGCACGCAGACGGUUUGUUAAGUCAGAUGUGAAAUCCCCGGGCUCAACCUGGGAACUGCAUCUGAUACUGGCAAGCUUGAGUCUCGUAGAGGGGGGUAGAAUUCCAGGUGUAGCGGUGAAAUGCGUAGAGAUCUGGAGGAAUACCGGUGGCGAAGGCGGCCCCCUGGACGAAGACUGACGCUCAGGUGCGAAAGCGUGGGGAGCAAACAGG
rnacentral:rRNA from 1 species